rnacentral:rRNA from 1 species
UACGUAGGGGGCAAGCGUUGUCCGGAUUUAUUGGGCGUAAAGAGCGUGUAGGCGGCUUUGCAAGUCCGUUGUGAAAACUCGAGGCUCAACCUCGAGACGCCGAUGGAAACCAUCAGACUAGAGUCCGGAAGAGGAGAGUGGAAUUCCUGGUGUAGCGGUGAAAUGCGCGGAUAUCAGGAAGAACACCCGUGGCUAAGGCGGCUCUCUAGUACGGUACUGACGCUGAGACGCGAAAGCGUGGGGAGCGAACAGG